CUGCCAGGAGGCCUCCUUCAUCCCUCCCCGUUUGGUCUGCUCAGGCAGGCAGUGAUGAUGAACCUUGUGUUCCCUGGCCGACCUCCUUUUUCCUACUGAGGCGGAGGGUAACGCUUUGGCCAACCUACUGGACGAUCUCUGUUGUUGCAGCAGAGGCAGGAAAAAAAUGAAACUCCCUCCCUCAAGUGAAAAAAUCAUUUGCUACACAGCUCUAGGGAGCUGCAUUAGCACUGGAACUGCGAGAUCUUUGCCCUGUCCCUGGAGGCACCCGAUUGGCAUUUGCUAGAUUUGUGAUGCUCCAGUAGAAAGAACAGGAAACCUGCUGAGGACUGAAAGGUUUGACUCUGGAAAAGCAGGGAGUAUAGAAACAGAGACUUUAUUAUAUUACUUUUUUUCCUCCAUAAGAAAGUUAUUCAUAAACAUUCAAAUUAGAAACAUGCAUAAAAAUCUGAAAAAAAACCAGCAAUGAGCAAAUUCUUACCUGCUGCCUUUGCUAGUACAAAAAUAUUAGCAUCCUUAUUUUGCGCUCUGAUACGCACGUUGCCUGUUUGCAGGAGCAGCCGGCUGGGCGGAGGCACAAUGCAGUGGGCACCUACGCAGAAGACGGUCCUGCAGAUUCCCCGGGUGCAUUUUGACAUUCUCACUGGAAAUCUGGCCCUAAAUAAUGUGGAAGGGACGUGCAGAAAUGAUAGCUCUCGAUUUGGGCCCUGUUGCUGGUUUAGUUUGUUUUUUCCACCACUGCCUUUUGCCAGCAUGUGAGGGGCCAUUUUUUCCCCUUCUAUCAAUUUUCUGCCAAUACAAAUCUUCCCCCUGAAGUGCUGAUGCCAAGCCAAAGGCCAAAUUUGGGUUAGGAAAUCUGGGUGGUUGACACCUGGUUUCUCAACUAAUGUGAAUUGCUCCCUUGUUGCUGCCAUGAGUGACAGGUGAGUUAGACAAGAGCUGACCUGGCUGCCUCUGAAAGGCUCCCUUUCUCUGCUCAGUUUUGAAAGUGGGACCAAUCUGUGUUUUCAAACUAAAGCUUUCACUUGGUACCAGCAGUAGGCCACCAUGCCAACCAGAAACACUCUGCUAAGGAGGCACCGCACAAUGUAACGAGGUAAGCAUGUAAAAUAUCAUGCUCCAAAUUCACUCCUAGUGCCAACUGAAUAACUUUGAUGCUUACUACAAGAAUAGAUUUUGCCCUGUAAGUCUAGCUUUUUUAAUCCAAUGUGAAACCAGCAAGUUUAUACAACUGAAGUGGAUGAAGUGAUCAGAUUCAUUUGCCCUUGACACUGCAUUAGUCCAGACCAAACCUCUGGAAAGAAAAAUGAUUAAACCUUUCUGGGAAGCUGUGUGGGAAUAGGAAGGCUGCAAAACCUUAACUGCGGUAUUACUCAACAGCUUCUUGUGUUUCAUCAUAUGAAGUAGAUGUCCUUCAGCAAAGCCUGUGCAGACAGUUCCCCAGCUAUGCAUUAGCCAUGAGCUCAGUCAGGAGUUGCUGAUCCAAUACUGGCACUACGGAGCCAACCACUACAGGCUCUGCUACAUCGAAGGAGAAGAAACAUAGUCAUAGUUGUCUCCUCUCUGAAAAUCGGCCUCAGUGAAGUGACAGAACUUUUCCUCCGCCCAUAUGACUGUACCACGUUGACUCCUCAGAUUUAACUGGGUUUCUGCUUGGAAGGAGAAGACUGUAAAUCCUGCUGAUGUGAGCCACAAAGCUGCCUUCUGCGUGUUUCUCCUCACUGGCCCAUACAGAAAAGGAUCCAUGCUACAAUUUGGAUGAUAUUGCAGAAACAAUACAUUUCAAGGGAGAGGAACAAAAAGGAGGAGGAAGCAUUUGUGAUGCAUGCUGAAUUCAAGCCGAUGCCCUGCCUGACUCCUGAGAGCAGACAGGAACAUGACUGCAGGCCCUCAUCUAUGGGUUCUUUUGCAGCUGAAGUAGGACAAAAAUGCUAGUAACUAAAAGCAUCUCCUUAGGCGAGGGGAAGCCAAUGAAAACCAGCUGCUGUGACAGGUGAGGAGACAUAAAUCACAGCUUUUUAAAAUGAAGUUUUCCACUGAACCUCUCUCCUGAGCCAUGUGGUGCCCCCCGCC